rnacentral:rRNA from 1 species
GACGAACGCUGGCGGCGUGCUUAACACAUGCAAGUCGUACGGUAAGGCCCUUUCGGGGGUACACGAGUGGCGAACGGGUGAGUAACACGUGAGUAACCUGCCCACAACUUUGGGAUAACGCUAGGAAACUGGUGCUAAUACUGGAUAUGUGCUCCUGCUGCAUGGUGGGGGGUGGAAAGCUCCGGCGGUUGUGGAUGGACUCGCGGCCUAUCAGCUUGUUGGUGGGGUAGUGGCCUACCAAGGCGGCGGCGGGUAGCCGGCCUGUGAGGGUGACCGGCCACAUUGGGACUUAGAUACGGCCCAGUCUCCUACGGGAGGCAGCAGUGGGGAAUAUUGCACAAUGGGCGCAAGCCUGAUGCAGCAACGCCGCGUGCGGGAGGACGGCCUUCGGGUUGUAAACCGCUUUCAGCAGGGACGAAGCUUUUUGUGACGGUACCUGCAGAAGAAGCACCGGCUAACUACGUG